rnacentral:rRNA from 1 species
UGAGGAAUAUUGGACAAUGGGCGCAAGCCUGAUCCAGCCAUGCCGCGUGCAGGAAGACGCAUCUAUGGUGUGUAAACUGCUUUUGUACGGGAAGAAACACUCCUACGUGUAGGAGCUUGACGGUACCGUAAGAAUAAGGAUCGGCUAAGUCCGUGC